AUGAGACAUGCAUUAGGACAUCAGCAACAGGUGGUGCCAAAAAUAAAAAGCAGAUUAAUUUUAAAUGGGAUGAUUUUAUUGAAUUGUAGACUAAAGAACUACAUAGACCAAUGCGCCAUAUUCUAUCUUGCCUUUUCUUGGCUUCCUUCUAGGAAACUCAUUAUUUUUGGCUACAGAGUAAGUACUUUCCAAAUAUACAUAUUUGUAGUUCAUAUGUAUAUACACACAAACACAUAUAUAUACACACACGUAUAUUAUAUGUGUAUAUAUGUGUGUGUGUAUAUAUAUAUGUGUAUAUAUAUGUUUUUCCAAAUAACAUUUGGCUCAGCUGAGGGCUCUGUGCAAGGUUACACUCUGGCGAAAACUUUUAGUCAUUAAGGCUGCAUUGACAAUUGAGCAAUCCAUCAUUAGUUGGUGAAUUUGUUUCGGAUAUGUCGAAUUUGAAGCCAUUACAGGACAUCUAUAUUGAAUUGUUCUAGGUUGUUAUGGUGGAAAACACAUAUUCAGGAUUAAAAUGAAAUUAUUAUUGUUCAUAAGGCUGGCAUUAUAGCAAAGAAGGAAUGGGGUAUUCAUAGCCAUACCUGGGGACUAGCAUAUCCUAGUCCCUUAGAACAUCACACUUACAUUUUUUUUUAAUAUACAAAGUAUAUCCUAAAACUUCUCUGAGAAUUGCUUUGUGGCCAGAGGCAGGAAAGGCCUAGUGACUCAUAUUUAGGUGGGAAAUAGGAAAACAAGUGACAACUCAACAAGGAAGGGGAAAAGGAUUUUGCUAUGGGUGAACAAAGUUCAAAAGUCUUUUUGAAAAGACUUUUAGCAAACAUUCAAAAGUGGUCACAUAUAAAUAAUAAAUAUUUUGUUUAUAUAAAGGAGUUGCAGUAGUUUCCUAGGAGAGUAAAAUAUUAAAGAUUUUUUUAGCUGUGAUUUAAAUUUUUAGAACAUAUGACACGAAGAUCUAUCUAAUGACCAUGGAAGGACUGAUUUCCUCAUCAGUAGGCAUUUUGGAAAUUUGAGUCUGGAAUAUAGCAAGAGAGGUCAGAGAUAGAGAUGCAGACUGGAGAAUUAUUAUUACAGAGAUGAUGAUUAAAAUCAUGUCCAUCAAUUGAUAAGCUGAUUCAGGAAAACAGUGAUGAUCAAUGGUUCUCAGUUUAGGCUACCAUUAGGAUCACCUGGAGAGUUUUUGAAAACCACUGAGGCAGCCCCACCCAAAAGAUUCUGCUUUAGUUGAUCUCGAGGACUGGGCAUCCAUUUUUUUAAUUACUCUCCAGAUAAUCAUAAUAAGCAGUCAGGGUUGAAAACCUUAGCACAGAGAGAGAUGGGCUAACAAUGGAGUCCAAGGAAGACUUGCAGUGAUAUAGAAUCUGUUAGGCAAAAUGUUGGCCUUCAUGGUCUUCAUUCCUGGGGUUACUCCUAUGAGUAUGUCAAAAGGUCUUUGAAGAUGUAAUUUAGGUUGCUAAUCAGCUGAUUUUAAAAUAGGGAGCUUCUCGAGAUUGUCUAGGUGGACCUAAUCUACUCAUAUAAGCUCUGGAAAGCAGAGCUCAUUUUCUGCCUGAUGGUAAAAGAGAAGUCAGAUAUUUGAAGCCUAAGAAAGAUUAGAACUGUCCUCCUUGACUUAGAGACUAAGGGAAUCAUAUGUCAAAGAAACAGGAAAAUGAGUUCCUACAAUCACAAGGAACUGAAUUCUAUCAACACUGUAAUGGGUUUGGAAGCAGAAUCUUCCCCAGAACCCCAAUUAAGAGCUAAGCUGAUGCCCUGAUUCCUGCCUUGUGAGGCCCUUAGCAGAGGAUCCAGCUGAGCUAUUCUAUUCCUAGACUUCUGACCCACUCAUGGUGAGAUACUAACUGGGUGUUUAGCCUUCUAAAUUUGUGAUAAUUUGUUAUGGCAGCAAUAGAAAACUAACACACAGAAAUAAAACUGUAAGAGCCUAGUAUCACAAAAGCCAAGGCAGAAAGAAAAGAUGUACUUCGUACUUUUCAGUUAAGACGUCAUUUACUUUUUUUUUUUUUUAAUGAGACAGGGUCUCAUUCUGUCACCCAGACCAUAGAGCAGUGGUGCAAUCAUGCCUCACUGCUGUCUCCACCUCCUGGUUUCAAGCACUCUUCCCACCCUCAACAUCCCAAGUAGCUGGGACUACAGGCAUGCAUGCACCAUCAUGCCCUGCUAAUUUUUUAUUUUUUGUAGAGACAAGGUCUCACUAUGUUGUCCAGGUUGGUCUCAAACUCCUGGGACCAAGCAAUCAUUUUGCGUUGGCCUCCCAUUGUGCUGGGAUUACAGGAGUGAGCCACCAUGUCCCAUCAUCAUUGCCUUUUGAUAAAGUAGUUCCUCCUUCUUAAUGAGUAAGGUGCUUAGGACUAGGGCUUCUUCUAGUAGCCGUAUGGCUUAUACAGCUUGCAUUUGAAGUACGAUACUCAGCAAACUUAGCCUGACAUUACUCAUUUCUUAUAUAUAGCAUUUAUCUUUUCCAAUACAUUUAAAUAAUUUCAGUUGAGUACUGAGUCUUUUCUCAAUCGAAAGUAGCACUAUCAGUUCUAAUAAGAAGAGUUUUGAAUGGGAUUUUGCUAUGCAGGUAAGGUUCCAAGGUAGGAGUCGGAACGGAAUCUGGUAAUAGAGGGUAGGAAAACAUAGAUAAAAGUAGAGGCAAAUCUUCUGUGGGAGUCAGGAUGGGAAGCAAAUGAAGACUAUGCAAACGGGAGCAAAGUCCUGUGUCAGAAGAGUAUGCAAAGGCCCACAUGUGCUAGAAGGCAGGGAAUCCGCCCACCUUUUACCUAGUGGAGGCUAGUAGGUCUGUUCUGGGAUCUCAAAGGAAUGGCAGGGAGAACAGCAAUGUCUAAAAGCGAUUGGAAGAAGGGUUGACUUCUGGGAGAGUAACUGGGAUGCCAGUGGAGGGAUGAAUGUAACUGCAAGUUAAUACCGAGUGAGAUAGUAUUAACAGAGAGGUAAGCAGCCAGUAACAGGAGAGGCCAGGACAUGAAGCUGCAUGGCCCAUAUCCACAAAUGGUAAGAGCCUCUUCCAUGGGAUGAUAUUAAUAAGGGCCUGAUACAGAAAAUAGUUUUUGUUUGCUGCCAUGACCUUAAGUUUUUUAAAAAAUAUCUUUUCAGAUCAAUGGAGCCUGGGGCAACAUCUGUUAUGUAGUAAUACUUUUUUCUAAAUCCAUCUCCAAAUUGUUCAUUGUUUGAUGGUUAAUUCAGGCUUUCACUAUUUCUCCAAGUGCCAUAGUUAGUGCUUAAGUAGGCUUUCACCUACUUUGCAUAUUUAGGACAAAGCUUUUUUUGGUUUAGACUGCAGAAUAAAAAAUGGAGGCUUCUUUCCAUCCCUUCAUUUCAAAUGCCAAGAUAGCAUGUGAUAUUUCUAGCUCUUUUAUGUUAAAAUUCUAGUUC
rnacentral:lncRNA from 1 species